rnacentral:lncRNA from 1 species
GGCCCAAUUUGAUUCUUUCAGGGGCCCAAUUGCCCCAAGAUUAAGCUAAUGGGAUCACCUCCCAUUUCUAACUUAAUCAAUGUGCUAACUACGAUUAUUUCCUAAGACAUAUUCUGCAGCUUGCUCCGGUGCGUCAAUCGCUUCUUCCGGCGAGUUUCCGGCGAACUUCCGUCGAUCAUCCGACGAACCCUCGGUGAUCCUCCUGCGGACUUCCGGCAAACUCCUGGACUUGCGACGAUCCACUUGGCAAGUUCCGACGAGCUCCUUUGGCAAGCUUCUGGACUUCUCGGAUUUGUUCCCGUAGAACCUCCGACGACUGUCCGAACUUCCGUCGAGCUCUCGAACUCCCAACGUGAUCAUUGUCUUGACUCCGGCACAACUCCUACUGCAUGUCUUUCUUCCAUCGUAGUUAAUCCUGC